rnacentral:rRNA from 1 species
UGGGGAAUAUUGCGCAAUGGGCGAAAGCCUGACGCAGCAACGCCGCGUGAGUGAUGAAGGCCUUCGGGUCGUAAAGCUCUGUCGGAGGGAACGAAUGCUCUUGAGGUUAACAGCCUCGGGAGGUGACGGUACCCUCAAAGGAAGCACCGGCUAACUCUGUGCCAGCAGCCGCGGUAAUACAGAGGGUGCAAGCGUUGUUCGGAAUCAUUGGGCGUAAAGGGCGCGUAGGCGGCAUGACAAGUCACUUGUGAAAUCUCUGGGCUUAACCCAGAACGGCCAAGUGAUACUGUCGCGCUAGAGUGCAGAAGGGGCAAUCGGAAUUCUUGGUGUAGCGGUGAAAUGCGUAGAUAUCAAGAGGAACACCUGAGGUGAAGACGGGUUGCUGGGCUGACACUGACGCUGAGGCGCGAAAGCCAGGGGAGCAAACGGGAUUAGAUACCCAGGUAGUCCCUG